rnacentral:tRNA from 3 species
GGUGUGGUAGUUCAGUUGGUUAGAAUAUCGGCCUGUCACGCCGGGGGUCGCGGGUUCGAGUCCCGUCCACACCG